UAAGAAUGAUGGUUCUUGAAGGAUGUGUAUUGACUGUCGAGCUAUCAACAAGAUUAAGGUAAAGUAUAGAUAUCUCAUUCCUAGGCUAAAUGACAUGUUAGAUAAAUUCCAUGGUACUUGUGUUUUUUCAAAAAUUCAUUUAAAAAAUGGAUACCACCAGAUUAGGAUGAAAGUGGGAGAUAAGUGGAAAACUGCUUUCAAAACAAAAUAUGAUUUAUAUGAGCGAUUAGUUAUGCCUUUUGGAUUGACUAACGCACCUAGUACAUUCAUGCGAUUAAUGAACCCUGCUUUGCGUGCAAUCAUUUGUAAGUUUGUAGUUGUAUACUUUAAUGAUAUAUUAAUGUACAGUAAAAAUAUGGAAGAGCAUUUGCUUCAUUUGAGCUGUGUGUCUGAAGUGCUUAGAAAAGAGAAAUUGUAUGCUAAUCUUAAAAAGUGUACUUUUUGCAUGAAAAGAAUUAUGUUUUUGGGUUAUGUGAUUAGUGCAAAAGGUAUCGAGAUGAAUGAAGAGAAGGUGAAAGCUAUCCGUGACUAGCCGAUUCUUACAUCUGUUACUGAGGUGAAGAUUCGAGGACGAAUCCUUUUGAAGAGGAGGGGAUGAUGGAAAUCAACAAGAACAAUAAUAUCCUAGGAAUGUUCGUGAGAUGAUUCAAUAUGCAAUUGCACAAAAAGCUCCAAUCACAAGGACUAGAGUUAAGAAGAUGCAAGAGCUAAUUGAGGAAGCAGUUGCACAAGAAGCUAAAUAUGAAGAUACAAUCAAUAAAUUAGGGUUACAAGAAGAUGAGAAGUGGCUAAAUUUGAUCCAAGUUUGCGUAGAAGAUGAUCAAGAAAUAUUUGGACAGAAUUGACAGGUUUUUACACAAAUUUAGUGAGUUUUUUUUCUGAUUUAGCACAGGUUUGAAUAUUUUUAUUUAAUUAUUUUUUAUCAAAUUUAUGUGUUUUCGACCUUA